rnacentral:rRNA from 1 species
AUACGUAGGGGGCGAGCGUUGUCCGGAAUGAUUGGGCGUAAAGGGCGCGUAGGCGGCCCGGUAAGUCUGGAGUGAAAGUCCUGUUUUUAAGAUGGGAAUUGCUUUGGAUACUGUCGGGCUUGAGUGCAGGAGAGGUAAGUGGAAUUCCCAGUGUAGCGGUGAAAUGCGUAGAGAUCGGGAGGAACACCAGUGGCGAAGGCGGGUAACUGGACUGCAACUGACGCUGAGGCGCGAAAGUGUGGGGAGCAAACAGGAUUAGAUACCCUGGUAGUCCACACUGUAAACGAUGAAUGCUAGGUGUAAGAGGUAUCGACCCCUUUUGUGCCGGAGUCAACACAAUAAGCAUUCCGCCUGGGGAGUACGGCCGCAAGGUUGAAACUCAAAUGAAUUGACGGGG